UUCGUGAACUCAAAUGCCCCCCAAUCCGUCGAUGAGAGCUGCAACUGUGUUUACAGUUAACCCACUUCCCAUUUCGAUCAGGUCAGUCACUCACAACUGCUUUCUGCACCUUUACGGUCCGCUCAACCCAAAAAUAUGGCGCUAAGCACUGCGUAAAGAUCAAGAACCACAACACUGGUCCACAACAAAAACAACAACAAAGAGCGCCCAAAUCCUGUGCAGCACAUCCAGCCACCAUCUCUGUGUCCCAGAAACAAGUGUUUUUAACGGAGAAAGCCAGCUCGCGACUACAGUAAAGUAACUUCCUGCAUGUGGCUGUAGGUGAAACGGGAUUUUCUGGCUGAGCGGCCGCAGCUGUCCACGCGGGCUCCUCUCAUGCCUGUGGAUGGUGCGUAAUAAUAUCAUCUGGAGAGGCCGAGGCCGACAUUUUACCCCGGUCCGGAGGACAUCCGAGGACACGCGAUAAGGCUGCGAGGCUGCGACAUGUGAAACGGCUCCGCCCCUCUCAACUCUCAACCUUCGCGGAACUCACUUGAAACGACGUUGCGACCGCGACCUGACACCCUCCUGCCUCGGGCAUGCCUCAGCCGGGUAUGAAUGGGAUGGAGCCUGCGUUUGGCGAGGCCUACGGGGGACACAGGGGUCUGCUGAGCCCCUACCCUCUGGCCAUGUCGCCACAAGGGGGCAGGACUGAGUACGACCAG